UCAUUCAAUCGGGCCAAUGUGAAUCGGACGCUUCACGCUUGGGGAAAAUUCAAGAUGGCGUCUCUUUAUUUCGUUUAGCAGUGGCAUAGAACGUGGAGUUAACAGAGUUUAGUGAGCGCUGGUCAUCGCAUCACAUCAUGCGCAGUAUUAGCUGCCUACCAGAAAUAAGAAAGUCCUACGCCCUGAUAAAUAGGCUACUCUACGCAAGGAACACAAACGCCAACUCAGAUUCAGGACAUAUGCGAGCUCUUUACUUACAAACAAUACAUCCGUUUACCGGCUUCUUUUUGCCCUGCCUACGGUUAUAUACUGCUAAUUCACAAGAUGGCAACCUAUGCUAAUGCUUUCUAUUUUUUUCUAAAGCAGUUUAUAUGGGAAUUAUUACUUUUUCGUGUGUAGUUGUUUGUUAAAGAUCAUUUACCAUUAGCAGCUCUAACAUAUGCACGUGGAAUGGCGCCAGACGUUUGCGUCUCGUUACAAAGUUUGGAGUAGCCUACGCAUUUUGCUACAAAAGAACGGAGAAAUACCCCUUGCAUUGCUCGUUGAGUAGGCUAGUUGUACGCGUUUCUUGUGUAGAGUAACAGGCCUAAAGCGUCUCGAAAUGUCGAUUGGAUGAAUUUUGAGAAAUCUGUCACGAAGUUGAGGCUCUUAAAGAUAUAGUAAGACUGAUUUGAUCUGGCUAUUGACUGCACAUUACAAAAUGAAGACGCAACUUUACUGCCUCCAGUCUGCUUUCAAAAACCAAGGCAGAAAAGUAAUUUUGUUGGAGGAUUGCAAUGCCAGCUCCACUGCUACAGCGGAUACAGAAUUACUUUAGUCUCCAAAGUGCCUGAAUAGAAGGCCUCAAGAUGGAUCCACAUGCACAGCAUCUGACGGCCUUGUACAACAGAAGGUAGACAACAACUGGAAAGAUAACAGAAGCUGUGACAUCACAAGACCAGCAGGCUAUUCCUGUUAUAUAUAUUGCUACAUCUAAGGAGAAACCAGACAAAGAUGAUGCAGCUGUUGCCUGUUGACCUGCUUUCAGCUGUGGAGGAGGUCCAGUCAGCUUUUUUUCUGACUGUUACAAAAAUGCCAUCUAGGUGUGAGUUGGUGGUCAAUCUCUAGUGCUACAAAUGCAGUGCAGAUGGUUACUAUGGCUACUUGGAGGCCAUUUGGAUUUGGAUUGGAUUAGCCCUGUACCUUCCUCAGGGAAGUAGAUUUUUUUUUUUUUUUUUGAAGGAAAAAAAUGGAUUUAGUUUUUAAACCCAGUUGUUGUUUUUUUGCCAUAACCGUUUACUUCUGGGGACAUAAAAGGCUGAAGUAUACGUUGACUAACUCAAGUUAGUGAAGAAAUGUCAAGUUUAAUUAUGUCAUAUUUCCUAGGUUAUUUGCAUGGUGAGUGGGAAGAGUGUAACAUCUAAUUAUUUUACGGUGUUUGUGUAAUCGAGAGGGAAUAUGAUGUAGAAGUAAUCUAAACUAGAAACUGAAGUCUGAGGAGUCCAACCCGAAAAGACUGCUUAGAUUAUUUUUUCACGGGUAUCCACAAGUCUUUUGAGACAAAAUUCAGGUCUGUUAGUAAAAAUUAGUCAUUGAAUUGUACUCUUGAGAUGCCUAUGUGUGGCUGAAUGUAUUGAGUAAAUUAAGGGAAUUCCCAUUCUGACACCCUUUCCUCUCAGUGGUCUGCACUGUAGAGCUUUUCCACCGAUUGACAUGAUAGCCACAGCAGUACCUGCAGCAGCAUCCCUUAGGAAGAUAUUUAAAUUGGAGCUGCACACGCUUCAGAUGCACUAGACCGGUCAACGGGUCCCUGGCGGUGGAAAAACAGCGUUUCGCAGAUGGGUCCCUCAUGCGGGAGCGAGCCAGGACCCCUUACCCAGAACAUUAAAACAUGCACCGGAGAUGGGGAGCGCUCUGUGAAUGGUGAAUGCCCCCCCUGGAGUACCUGGGGGAAACCCACGCAAGCACAGGGAGAAACAUGCAAACUCUGCAGAGAAAGGCCCUGUCUGGGAUGUGAAUCCAGGAACUUCUUGCUAUGAAGUGACAGAGUGCUAUCCACUGCUCCACCAUGCAGAGUUUUCUUUUUUUGACCAUGUUUGCACGAGCGAGUACGUCACAACUCUACCAAUUCGUGUGGCAUCUAGAAUCCUGCUUUCCCUGACUUUAUCAUCCAGUAUAAUAAGGUGUCCAUGUGGACCUUCCUGGCGGUAGCCUCUUGUAGGCUGUAAAUCCGCCGCUGCUGGACAGCAGGGUUACUGCCCUCCCCACGCACAUUGACACAGGAAGUCGUAACCCGCUGCCUGGCUGUGCACCCCUCGACCGGCCAAUAAAUCGCAGGAGAGGGUCCGCCCCCCGUUUGCGAUCACCUGCUCGGCCUGCCCGCUCAGCUUUAAUUAAGACUGAGCGAGGGGGGGGUGGAGUUGGACGGGGCGUGGGGGCGUAACGAGAUCCCCGGCUAAUCAGUGACUUAUCUGGCCGAUCGGCACACGGGGGAGAGCAACUGAGACGGUGCUGAGGUCACGCCGCGAGCAGGCUCUGGAAAUGGAACCGCGGGACGGCCUUUCCGCUCGUUAAAAGCCACGGUCGAAUGCCUACGAGAAGCCGUCCGGCCACGGAGGCCGGGGUGAUCGGAGUCCUCCUAACGGUGAAUCCGAAAGUCUGCACUGGGGCCGGCCGACUGGUACAGGAGAAUAUUCCUGAGAUGUCCCGCAUACAGCUCAAUGCUCCCAAGUGAAAUUUAUCUGCUGCACAGCACAGAUACAGACCUGCCCGGUUGACCAUAUAACUGCAUAGGGUGUCCUCCUUUUUGUACUUUAUUUAUAGCAUUGAAUCCACAAGGACAGUAUAAUGAUCAACGUAUCCACAUUAGUGUCACUGUAAAUGUGUUCAAUUUCCACAUGUAGUCCCUGUAUAGACUACAACAGAUAAAAGUACAGAUAAUGUAUAAUCAAAUUGAGGGGGAGGGGGAUAGGUACAUAUUCUGAAUGUCAUAUUUUUUACAUACAUAUUUCAUGUUUUAACCAAGAACAGGUCUAGCAAUUCGUGCAAGCAUUUUUGGGUGUGUGGUUGGUGAAAUGGUUUGCUGUUGCUGAUUUUAUUUGCGUUUCUGCUUGCAGAUUGUGUGGGAAAGCCAACCCUAAUUUGGCACACCUGAAUCUACUAAUUAGCAGCUCAACAAGAUAUCUAGCUGUUGAAUGAGGUGUGCUUUAUUAGGGUUGGAGUGAAAACAUACAGGAUGGUAGAUCCCCAGGAACAGAGCUGGUUACCACUGGCAUAGACACACACUCUUCUCUGCAUUCCUUUCUGUAUUUCAUUGAACUCACUGGCCUACUCCUUUGCUGGAGAGUGCUGUCUUUCACAUUGUCCUACAAGUUUCACUGUGUCAUUGAAAGAUGUGACAAACUAACGAUUUUCCAAAAUGUGCAGAAAGAUCACCGCAGUUAUUAAAACACACAAUGUGCAAAAGUCCAAAUGUCCAUUAUACUUUUUAUUUUUUGGUAGCUUUUGCAUAUGACAUACUUAGAUCAUAGAUGAGAAGUUAUCUUACGUUGAUACAUUUUAUUACAGGAGCAGAAGUACUUAGAUCAUAGAUGAGAAGUUAUCUUACGUUGAUACAUUUUAUUACAGGAGCAGAAGUACUCAAAUACAUUUGUAUGAAUAGGAAAGGUUUUACUUCAGAGCGACACCUGUGACUCCUCCCUGUCCGGGUCCUAUAAGCUCACAUGACAAUUCAGGGCUGCAAUAUAUCCUAUACAUCAUAUAGCUACAGUAUGUCUUACAAAUCACAUAUACUUCUAUAUAUAUCGUAUAUUUCAAUAUAUCAGCACGUUGAUUCCCUUUAACUGGAGCACACACAGAACACACCCAGCUCAGAGAUCCCUGAGGUGCAUUGCCAUUUUAGGCCAGCUGGAUCUUCUCCUCGCUAUGCUAAUGACGUCCGCACGGUAUUUGGUCUCUCCCAUCCGCCCCCCUCCCCCUCCCCCCCUUUGCCCCAUGCAAUGGACAGCGGAAUGUAAACACGGGAGCCCGCCUGACG